rnacentral:rRNA from 1 species
GAUGAACGCUGGCGGCGUGCCUAAUACAUGCAAGUCGAGCGAACGGACGAGAAGCUUGCUUCUCUGGUGUUAGCGGCGGACGGGUGAGUAACACGUGGAUAAACUACCUCGAAGACUGGGAUAACUUCGGGAAACCGGAACUAAUACCGGAUAAUAUUUGGAACCGCAUGGUUCAAAAGUGAAAGACGGUCUUGCUGUCACUGAUAGAUGGAUCCGCGCUGCAUUAGCUAGUUGGUAAGGUAACGGCUUACCAAGGCAACGAUGCAUAGCCGACCUGAGAGGGUGAUCGGCCACACUGGAACUGAGACACGGUCCAGACUCCUACGGGAGGCAGCAGUAGGGAAUCUUGCGCAAUGGGCGAAAGCCUGACGGAGCCACGCCGCGUGAGUGAUGAAGGUCUUCGGAUCGUAAAACUCUUUUAUUAGGGAAGAACAUAUGUGUAAGUAAAUGUUCACAUCUUGACGUUACCUACACAGAAAGCCACGGCUAACUACGUG